GGACGAACUUUUUUUAUUCGUGCCAUAUAUCGCGUUAGUGAUGCCAUCAUGCGACAGUUUCGUCAAGUGAACUCGCGCGAGCAUUGCGGUUAAACGUAUUACGAGAAUAAAUAGUACCUGUACGUAAGCAUAUAAUGUCGAGAUGCCGAAAAAAAGUAUCGGAAGUGUCGAAAAAGUUAUCGGGAGUGCCGAGGGAGAUAUCGGGAGUAUCGAGGAAAGUAUCAGACGAUCGUAUUAUGUGUAUCGGAAGUGUGAAUAACGCGGGACACUUUGUGAACUCUAAUUAGAGGUUAACCUCCACGCGAUCUAAGCCUUCUUAAGCAUACUAAUUAAAGUACACAAUAAUAAUUAUUUAUUUCUAAUUCUAGUCGCUAUACGCAUAUUGCUUCAAUAUUUCACGUAAUAUUAUCGAGACUAAAUAUUUCGCGAGUGAAUGAAUAUCGAGAAGAUCGGACAAAAAACGUAUGAAUAUAAAUCAUCGAGAAUCGGGAAUGUUGAGAAUCGUAUCAAAUAUCAGGCGUUUACUGUUGAACGAUCGAUAUGCGCGAUCAAAAUUAAACUUUCGCGAGUGAGUGCUUUGUGGAACUUGGAUGAAAUUCGUCGUCGACAGAAGUUGGCAGAAUAUCAGCGACCGGUUUGGGAACUGCGUUUUGGCGACUUAGCAUCUUAUGGAUUACUGACAUGCUAAGUCGUCAAAAGUCGCCGAGCUCUGUGA